rnacentral:rRNA from 1 species
UACGGGAGGCAGCAGUGGGGAAUAUUGCACAAUGGGCGAAAGCCUGAUGCAGCUAUGCCGCGUGUAUGAAGAAGGCCUUAGGGUUGUAAAGUACUUUCAUCGGGGAGGAAAAAACAAAACUAAUAAUUUUAUUUCUUGACGUUACCCGAAAAAGAAGCACCGGCUAACUCCGUGCCAGCAGCCGCGGUAAUACGGAGGGUGCUAGCGUUAAUCAGAAUUACUGGGCGUAAAGAGCACGUAGGUGGUUUUUUAAGUCAGAUGUGAAAUCCCUGGGCUUAACCUAGGAACUGCAUUUUGAAACUGAAAUACUAGAGUAUCGUAGAGGGAGGUAGAAUUCUAGGUGUAGCGGUGAAAUGCGUAGAUAUCUGGAGGAAUACCUGUGGCGAAAGCGGCCUCCUAAACGAAUACUGACACUGAGGUGCGAAAGCGUGGGGAGCAAACAGGGAUUAGAUAC